UUUCUUUCUUUUUUUUUUUUUUUUUAAAUCAGGAAUCAUGUCUGAAAGCUGCCACAACCAGUUGUAUAGGCAUGUCAAAAUGACUUUAUACAGUCAAUAUGAAACAAGCAUUAAAUAUUUUUUCUCAUGUUGUUGCUUUUAUCAUUAUGAAUUCCUUGCUUGUUGCCACCUAAGAUACGAUGGAGCAAGCACAGUCUUAAAGAAGAUUUGCUGAUUUUUUGUUUUUCUCAGCAGACCAGAGUAGGACAUCCAUAAAAAUUCAUCAGAGAGCAUUUUACUACUGAGCUGCAAAGGGAAAAACUUAAAAUGGAUAUGAAAAGUGAAGAAAGUGAUCAUAGGAGAAAACCAUUUCAGAUCAACCACCUCAGAAGAGCCAGAUUCCACUUCUGUGGCCAGGACUUUUACAUUAUGGCUGGUCCGAUUGUUUUACCCUGCGUUCUAUGCUACUAAACCUUGGAUCAUUCCUAAAGUACAAAUUCUGUUCUCGAACCACAAACAAGGCUAAAAGAUCGGAGGAAAUUCAGUGAAUAUACAGGAUUGGGGUUGUGUAUUUUUAAAAGUAUUGAGCUUUAUAAUGUAAUUAUUCAAGAAAUAGAAUCAUGGUUUUUUUAUGAUGUUGCCAGCAUUUUAAAUUACAUGUUUAUUAAGUGGCAUUGCUCAAAUAACUACAGAGUAUGCGUGGAAAUAUUUGCUGUCUGAAUAGUUUGGAGAUUCAAAGAGAAAAAUCAAGCUUCAGAGGUAUUAAAUUAUGACAUGCAGAAAA
ensembl:lncRNA MIR99AHG mir-99a-let-7c cluster host gene